GAAGAAGAACGUAGCGAAAUGCGAUAAGUAAUGUGAAUUGCAGAAUUCAGUGAAUCAUCGAAUCUUUGAACGCACAUUGCGCCCGGCAGUACUCUGCCGGGCAUGCCUGUUCGAGCGUCAUUUCAACCCUCAAGCCCUGCUUGGUGUUGGGGUCCCACGGCCGCCGUGGGCCCUGAAAGGAAGUGGCGGGCUCGCUACAACUCCGAGCGUAGUAAUUCAUUAUCUCGCUUAGGGCGUUGGGCGGCGCUCCUGCCGUUAAAGAACCAUCUUUAACUCAAGGUUGACCUCGGAUCAGGUAGGAAUACCCGCUGAACUUAAGCAUAUCAAUAAGCGGAGGA
rnacentral:misc_RNA from 1 species